CAGAAAGUAGUUUAAGUUGAGAAUAUCAGCUUUGGGAGCUGGUGACAAAGGUUCGACCCCUUUCUUUCUGA
rnacentral:tRNA from 3 species